rnacentral:tRNA from 1 species
GCAUCUAUAGCUCAGUCGGAUAGAGCGCUGGACUUCGAAUCCAGGCUGUCGGGGGUUCGAAUCCCUCUAGGUGCACCA